rnacentral:rRNA from 1 species
AUUGAACGCUGGCGGCAGGCCUAACACAUGCAGGUCGAACGGUAACAGGAAGCAGCUUGCUGCUUCGCUGACGAGUGGCGGACGGGUGAGUAAUGUCUGGGAAACUGCCUGAUGGAGGGGGAUAACUACUGGAAACGGUAGCUAAUACCGCAUAACGUCGCAAGACCAAAGAGGGGGACCUUAGGGCCUCUUGCCAUCGGAUGUGCCCAGAUGGGAUUAGCUAGUAGGUGGGGUAACGGCUCACCUAGGCGACGAUCCCUAGCUGGUCUGAGAGGAUGACCAGCCACACUGGAACUGAGACACGGUCCAGACUCCUACGGGAGGCAGCAGUGGGGAAUAUUGCACAAUGGGCGCAAGCCUGAUGCAGCCAUGCCGCGUGUAUGAAGAAGGCCUUCGGGUUGUAAAGUACUUUCAGCGGGGAGGAAGGGAGUAAAGUUAAUACCUUGGCUCAUUGACGUUACCCGCAGAAGAAGCACCGGCUAACUCCGUG